GAAGGAACGAGAUUUGAAGAGAGGAGGAGGGCGGAGGGAAAAGGGAGUAUGGAGUUUGAGAAGAUCUGAAAACGAAUUGCCUCCUUAGGUCUGAAGCCACCUUGAGGAGGCCCCUGGACUUCUCUCCCUUCUCCUGCUGACAGUCUGCCUGGGAGUGAAGGUCAAGAUGAUGGCAGGGGUUGUUCCCACGUGUCACACCCUGCCUUCAUGAAGCUUUGUAUGUAAAGCUGCUGCAUCUCCUGCAGGCUCAAGCUCUCUCCUCCAGGAAGAAGUUAAUCUCCCUCUGGUUUCCUGGGACUCGACUCAGUUGGACGGUGUCUGCCUGCGUGCCUUUAUCCCAC
rnacentral:lncRNA from 1 species